UCUCCGUAGGUGAACCUGCGGAGGGAUCAUUACUGAGUGAGGGCUUCGGUCCGACCUCCAACCCUUUGUGAACCAAACUUGUUGCUUCGGGGGCGACCCUGCCGCUUCGGCGCCAGGGGGUCCCCGCUGGUCCACACAACUCUGCAUCUUUGCGUCUGAGUAAACAUUAAAUGAAACAAAACUUUCAACAACGGAUCUCUUGGUUCUGGCAUCGAUGAAGAACGCAGC
rnacentral:misc_RNA from 1 species